rnacentral:rRNA from 1 species
ACGUAGGAUGCAAGCGUUGUCCGGAGUUACUGGGCGUAAAGCGUGUGCAGGCGGUCCUUUAAGUCUGAUGUGAAAGCCCACGGCUCAACCGUGGAGGGUCAUUGGAAACUGGGGGACCUGAGUGCAGAAGAGGAAAGUGGAAUUCCACGUGUAGCGGUGAAAUGCGUAGAGAUGUGGAGGAAUACCGGUGGCGAAGGCGGCAUCCUGGACCAUUACUGACGCUGAGGCGCGAAAGCUAGGGGAGCAAACGGGA